AACGAACGCUGGCGGCAGGCCUAACACAUGCAAGUCGAGCGCCCAGCAAUGGGAGCGGCAGACGGGUGAGUAACGCGUGGGAACCUUCCCGAUAGUACGGAAUAGCCCAGGGAAACUUGGAGUAAUACCGUAUACGCCCGAAAGGGGAAAGAUUUAUCGCUGUCGGAUGGGCCCGCGUAGGAUUAGCUAGUUGGUGAGGUAAUGGCUCACCAAGGCGACGAUCCUUAGCUGGUUUGGGAGAAUGACCAGCCACACUGGGACUGAGACACGGCCCAGACUCCUACGGGAGGCAGCAGUGGGGAAUCUUGGACAAUGGGCGCAAGCCUGAUCCAGCCAUGCCGCGUGAGUGACGAAGGUCUUCGGAUUGUAAAGCUCUUUUGCCAGGGACGAUAAUGACGGUACCUGGAGAAUAAGCCCCGGCUAACUUCGUGCCAGCCGCCGCCGUAAAAC
rnacentral:rRNA from 1 species